CCAAUUUUAGUGAGCCUGGUCUUGUUAACCAUGGUUUCGCGAAAAUCGUAUUUAAAACCCAUUCUUAUAAAAAAUGAAUCAUUUUUUUUGUACAAUAAAUAAAGA
rnacentral:misc_RNA from 1 species